GACGAACGCUGGCGGCGUGCUUAACACAUGCAAGUCGAACGGAAAGGCCCUGCUUUUGUGGGGUGCUCGAGUGGCGAACGGGUGAGUAACACGUGAGUAACCUGCCCUUGACUUUGGGAUAACUUCAGGAAACUGGGGCUAAUACCGGAUAGGAGCUCCUGCUGCAUGGUGGGGGUUGGAAAGUUUCGGCGGUUGGGGAUGGACUCGCGGCUUAUCAGCUUGUUGGUGGGGUAGUGGCUUACCAAGGCUUUGACGGGUAGCCGGCCUGAGAGGGUGACCGGCCACAUUGGGACUGAGAUACGCCCAGACUCCUACGGGAGGCAGCAGUGGGGAAUAUUGCACAAUGGGCGGAAGCCUGAUGCAGCAACGCCGCGUGCGGGAUGACGGCCUUCGGGUUGUAAACCGCUUUCGCCUGUGACGAAGCGUGAGCGACGGUAAUGGGUAAAGAAGCACCGGCUAACUACGUG
rnacentral:rRNA from 1 species